rnacentral:rRNA from 1 species
UACGGGGGGGGCAAGCGUUGUCCGGAAUCAUUGGGCGUAAAGAGCGUGUAGGCGGUCCGGUAAGUCCGUUGUGAAAGUCAGGGGCUCAACCCUUGAAUGCCGGCGGAUACUGUCGGGCUAGAGUCCGGAAGAGGCAAGUGGAAUUCCCGGUGUAGCGGUGAAAUGCGCAGAUAUCGGGAGGAACACCUAUGGCGAAGGCAGCUUGCUGGGACGGUACUGACGCUGGAGACGCGAAAGCGUGGGGAGCAAACAGG